AACGAACGCUGGCGGCAUGCCUAACACAUGCAAGUCGAACGAGACCUUCGGGUCUAGUGGCGCACGGGUGCGUAACGCGUGGGAACCUGCCCUUAGGUUCGGAAUAACUCCCCGAAAGGGGUGCUAAUACCGGAUAAUGUCUUCGGACCAAAGAUUUAUCGCCUUUGGAUGGGCCCGCGUUGGAUUAGCUAGUUGGUAGGGUAAAAGCCUACCAAGGCGACGAUCCAUAGCUGGUCUGAGAGGAUGAUCAGCCACACUGGGACUGAGACACGGCCCAGACCCCUACGGGAGGCAGGAGUGGGGAAUAUUGGACAAUGGGCGAAAGCCUGAUCCAGCAAUGCCGCGUGAGUGAUGAAGGCCUUAGGGUUGUAAAGCUCUUUUACCCGGGAUGAUAAUGACAGUACCGGGAGAAUAAGCUCCGGCUAACUCCGUG
rnacentral:rRNA from 1 species